GUGGGGAAUCUUAGACAAUGGGCGCAAGCCUGAUCUAGCCAUGCCGCGUGAGUGAUGAAGGCCCUAGGGUUGUAAAGCUCUUUCAGCUGGGAAGAUAAUGACGGUACCAGCAGAAGAAGCCCAGGCUAACUCCGUGCCAGCAGCCGCGGUAAUACGGAGGGGGCUAGCGCUGUUCGGAAUUACUGGGCGUAAAGCGCGCGUAGGCGGACUGAAAAGUUGGGGGUGAAAUCCCGGGGCUCAACCUCGGAACUGCCUUCAAAACUAUCAGUCUGGAUUUCGAGAGAGCAGAGUGGAAUUCAGAGUGUAGAGGUGAAAUUCGUAGAUAUUCGGAGGAACACCAGUGGCGAAGGCGGCUCACUGGCUCGAUACUGACGCUGAGGUGCGAAAGCGUGGGGAGCAAACAGGAUUAGAAACCCCAGUAGUCC
rnacentral:rRNA from 1 species